rnacentral:rRNA from 1 species
UACAGAGGUCUCGAGCGUUGUUCGGAUUCAUUGGGCGUAAAGGGUGCGUAGGUGGCGCUGUAAGUCGGGUGUGAAAUUUCGGAGCUUAACUCCGAAACUGCAUUCGAUACUGCGGUGCUUGAGGACUGGAGAGGAGACUGGAAUUCAUGGUGUAGCAGCGAAAUGCGUAGAGAUCAUGAGGAAGACCAGUGGCGAAGGCGGGUCUCUGGACAGUUCCUGACACUGAGGCACGAAGGCCAGGGGAGCAAACGGG